rnacentral:rRNA from 1 species
AACAGCUCACUGGUCUAGAUAAGCUGUCCUGCGGCGAAGAUGUAACGGGGCUCAAACCACGAGCCGAAGCUCAGGAUGCAUAGCAAUAUGCGUGGUAGCGGAGCGUUCUGUGAUAUAGGACGCUGUGUCUUUAUAUUUAGCUUGCUGAAUAUAGCGGACACAAUGUGCUUUCUGUGAAGCCGGGCUGUAAGGCAUCCGGUGGAGAGAUCAGAAGCGAGAAUGUUGACAUGAGUAGCGAUAAAGAGGGUGAGAGACCCUCUCGCCGAAAAUCCAAGGGUUCCUGCUUAAAGCUAAUCUGAGCAGGGUGAGCCGGCCCCUAAGGCGAGGCCGAAAGGCGUAGUCGAUGGGAACUAGGUUAAUAUUCCUAGGCCAGGAGGAAGUGACGGAUCUCGAAGAUUGUCUGCCCUUAUCGGAUUGGGUGGGCCGUUUAGAGGUUCCAGGAAAUAGCCCUCCAUCAGACCGUACCCUAAACCGACACAGGUGGACUGGUAGAGUAUACCAAGGCGCUUGAGAGAACCACAUUUAAGGAACUCGGCAAAAUGCCUCCGUAAGUUCGCGAGAAGGAGGCCCUGUCUGUAGGCAACUAUAGGCAGGGGGCACAAACUAGGGGGUGGCGACUGUUUACUUAAAACACAGGGCUGUGCGAAGCCGUAAGGCGACGUAUACAGUCUGACGCCUGCCCGGUGCUGGAAGGUUAAAAGGAGGGGUGCAAGCUCUGAAUUGAAGCCCCAGUAAACGGCGGCCGUAACUAUAACGGUCCUAAGGUAGCGAAAUUCCUUGUCGGGUAAGUUCCGACCUGCACGAAUGGCGUAACGAUCUCCCCGCUGUCUCAAAUGCGGACUCAGCGAAAUUGAACUGUGUGUCAAGAUGCACACUACCCGCGGUUAGACGGAAAGACCCCAUGCACCUUUACUCCAGCUUUGCACUGGUAUCAGGAUUGUGAUGUGCAGGAUAGGUGGUAGGCAUCGAAGCAGGGACGCUAGUUCUUGUGGAGCCUCCCUUGAGAUACCACCCUUCGCACUCUUGAUAUCUAACCGCGGCCCGUUAUCCGGGUCCGGGACCCUGCAUGGUGGGGAGUUUGACUGGGGCGGUCGCCUCCCAAAGAGUAACGGAGGCGCGCGAUGGUAGGCUCAGACCGGUCGGAAAUCGGUCGUUGAGUGCAAUGGCAGAAGCCUGCCUGACUGCAAGUCUGACAAGACGAGCAGAGACGAAAGUCGGUCAUAGUGAUCCGGUGGUCCCAAGUGGGAGGGCCA